rnacentral:lncRNA from 1 species
CUUGCUUCAGAGUUUUCCAUUUGAAAUAGUAAAAUUCCGGAAUCGGGAGUCAGGCAGAUUUUUUUUUUUUUCUCUUUCUCACAUCCAAAAGGACGAUGGUUAGCUGGAUGAUUCGCUCUUAGAUAGGAAGGGAUCUAUCGUCUCUCAUUGGACAUACUAACUUUGCAUGAAGUCUGUGGAAGUUCUGCAGUUUCACCCUGCCCCCCGUGACCUUCCGAAACUGCCCCCGUGACCUUCCAGUUUCUUAGUACUGCCACAGGGAAGCACCGUGGAGCUAAUAAAAGAUUUGAUAUUGUCAUAAUUUUUCAAUCAGGGGAUCAACAAAUUGAUCAAGAAACUGCCCAGGCCAAUCUCACAAGACAGCAGGCUGCCUUCUUUAUUAUGGAAAUCAGCAAGUGACAACACCAGCUGACACACCAACAUGGAUGGGAGAAAUGUCGCCAGGCCCUGCACCAAGAUGAAGAGCCACAAGCAGCUAAUGGCUGAUGAGAGGAAAGUCAGUACUGUUCAAGGGUGAGCCCC